rnacentral:rRNA from 1 species
CCUACGGGGUGCUGCAGUGGGGAAUAUUGGACAAUGGGCGAAAGCCUGAUCCAGCCAUGCCGCGUGUGUGAAGAAGGCCUUCGGGUUGUAAAGCACUUUCAGUGGGGAAGAAAGCCUUGGGGCUAAUACCCUCGAGGAAGGACAUCACCCACAGAAGAAGCACCGGCUAACUCCGUGCCAGCAGCCGCGGUAAUACGGAGGGUGCGAGCGUUAAUCGGAAUUACUGGGCGUAAAGCGCGCGUAGGCGGUCUGAUAAGCCGGUUGUGAAAGCCCCGGGCUCAACCUGGGAACGGCAUCCGGAACUGUCAGGCUAGAGUGCAGAAGAGGAAGGUAGAAUUCCAGGUGUAGCGGUGAAAUGCGUAGAGAUCGGGAGGAAUACCAGUGGCGAAGGCGGCCUUCUGGACUGAAACUGACGCUGAGGUGCGAAAGCGUGGGUAGCAAACAGGAUUAGAUACCCGUGUAGUC